UGCCCCUCACUUGCCAAUACGUCUAGAUCAGCCAGGGCGUCGGCAUGUGUAGCGUAUUAUGUUGGGCUCUCUCGAGAUAAGGAUACGAUGUCCCUUUAUCGGUUGGUUUCCUGUGUGCGCGGCCCGUUCGUUUUUUUUGUUACUUUCGCAUCGUUCGGUGCAUUCUGGGGGCUGUGUUGGCUUUUGGUGGCUUGCUUGGCCUUUUGGCUUUGCUUGUUGCUACUUGUCGGGCUGCUUUCGGGAAUGUCAACCGUGGAGGUGCAUGAGUGGUGUUUGGUUUGUUACGUGUGGAUGGCUGUUUGCUUGUGCAACAACGUUCACGCUGCAUACCUCUUCAGUUUUGCGGCAAGGCUUGGUUUGGCUUGUGCAUAUUGUGGGUUUCCUGUGUUGCAUACCUAGUUGAUGGAAAAGUGUGGGUUUUACGAUUUUCAUUUUCGUCUUGCGUCGUUCUUUUGGCGUGGGAUGAACAAUGAAGCGAUCUUUAUGAUCCAUCGUGCUGUUGCGUUUGCAACAAUGAUGUGGCCUAUGAAGCAUCGUUUGGUCUCUUGUAUACGGAAGCUCAUUUGGGCUUGGGUCUUUAUAAGAUCUUCGUUACGCCCUUGUUAAGCGUUCUCGCUUCUCCUAAACGAUUG
rnacentral:misc_RNA from 1 species